AAUGAACGCUGGCGGCAUGCCUUACACAUGCAAGUCGAACGGCAGCAUGACCUAGCUUGCUAGGUUGAUGGCGAGUGGCGAACGGGUGAGUAAUGCAUCGGAACGUGCCUUUUAGUGGGGGAUAACGUAGCGAAAGUUACGCUAAUACCGCAUAUUCUCUGAGGAGGAAAGCGGGGGACCUUCGGGCCUUGCGCUAGAAGAGCGGCCGAUGUCGGAUUAGCUAGUUGGUGAGGUAAAGGCUCACCAAGGCAACGAUCCGUAGCGGGUCUGAGAGGAUGAUCCGCCACACUGGGACUGAGACACGGCCCAGACUCCUACGGGAGGCAGCAGUGGGGAAUUUUGGACAAUGGGCGCAAGCCUGAUCCAGCCAUGCCGCGUGAGUGAAGAAGGCCUUCGGGUUGUAAAGCUCUUUCGGCUGGGAAGAAAUCGCACCCUCUAAUACAGGGUGUGGAUGACGGUACCAGCAGAAGAAGCACCGGCUAACUACGUG
rnacentral:rRNA from 1 species